rnacentral:rRNA from 1 species
UACGUAGGGGGCAAGCGUUAUCCGGAUUUACUGGGCGUAAAGGGAGCGUAGACGGUGAUGUAAGUCAGAUGUGAAAGCCCGGGGCUCAACUCCGGGACUGCAUUUGAAACUAUGUUGCUGGAGUGCAGGAGAGGUAAGUGGAAUUCCUAGUGUAGCGGUGAAAUGCGUAGAUAUUAGGAGGAACACCAGUGGCGAAGGCGGCUUACUGGACUGUAACUGACGUUGAGGCUCGAAAGCGUGGGGAGCAAACAGG